rnacentral:rRNA from 1 species
UACGGAGGGUGCAAGCGUUAAUCGGAAUUACUGGGCGUAAAGCGCGCAGUGUGGUGUUAGAGAAGAUGUGAAAGCCCCGGGCUUAACCUGGGAACGGCAUUUCGAACUGUCAGGCUAGAGUAUGGUAGAGGAGUGUGGAAUUUCCUGUGUAGCGGUGAAAUGCGUAGAUAUAGGAAGGAACACCAGUGGCGAAGGCGGCACUCUGGACCAAUACUGACACUGAGGUGCGAAAGCGUGGGGAGCAAACAGGAUUAGAUACC